UGGGGAAUAUUGGACAAUGGGCGAAAGCCUGAUCCAGCCAUGCCGCGUGAGUGAAGAAGGCCUUCGGGUUGUAAAGCUCUUUUAGUCGGAAAGAAAGAGCCGCAAUGAAUAAUUGUGAUUUAUGACGGUACCGACAGAAAAAGCACCGGCUAACUACGUGCCAGCAGCCGCGGUAAUACGUAGGGUGCGAGCGUUAAUCGGAAUUACUGGGCGUAAAGGGUGCGCAGGCGGUUUUGCAAGUCAGAUGUGAAAGCCCCGGGCUUAACCUGGGAAUUGCGUUUGAAACUACAAGGCUAGAGUGCAGCAGAGGGGAGUGGAAUUCCAUGUGUAGCAGUGAAAUGCGUAGAGAUGUGGAAGAACACCGAUGGCGAAGGCAGCUCCCUGGGUUGACACUGACGCUCAUGCACGAAAGCGUGGGGAGCAAACA
rnacentral:rRNA from 1 species